rnacentral:lncRNA from 1 species
UUUUUUUUUCUUUUUCAGAGUUGUAGAUUUUGCUUUUUGGGUGGUAAAUUAAAGGGAACUGUUCUAGUGUUUUUGACUGAACCAAUUCCGAGAUUCUUUUUAGAGUCCCAAAAUACAGACACAAAUUUCUGACUCACCGAGAAAUUAGUUGAAAAAAAGCCCAGAAAUAUGACAAAGAAAAUGGCAAAACUUGUAGUUUCCCCGAAAAUCAUGCCUGGUUUUGUCUCCAUCCCCCCAGUUGAUUAAUCAUCGUAUAGUUCAUUCAAGAUUUAUACUCCACUCCCGUCUCCUCUGUUUCAUCGCAUAUUAACGUAUUGUAAACUUGUACUUUUUUACUGAAAAAAUUUGCGUUCUUUAUUUGUUUUUUGUUUAGGUUUAUUUGUUAUAAUGUUCUUGGUAGUGGCGUCCAAUCAAUAACAUACACCUCGUACCCCCAGCCCAACCCCAGCCCAUUAUCUUUCUCGGCAGUGUAACACAAAGGAAACGCAGACAUGAGAUCAUUCACAAGAAACAAGAUUUCAGCACUUGCAUAAAAAUCAUAGCCAGAGUUCUUUCUUUCACACACAAAGUAAAUUAUAAUUUUUCUGUGUUGAGAAAUGGAGAAAUUCAUUCUUGUGGUUAACUGUGAGCUCAAAUCCAGUGGAAUAGUGUAGAACAGAGUAAAGGGUCUUGUGUUUUAAGUUUUCCAUUUGCACGAGGAAAAGUUUUACCUUUCAUUUUACUUCUCAUUUCACUCUGAAAGCAAGAAACAAGAUUUCAGAACUUGCAUAAAAAUCAUAGCCAGAGUUCUUUCUUUCCACACGAAGUAAAUUAUAAUUUUUCUGUGUUGAGAAAUGGAGAAAUUCAUUCUUGUGGUUAACUGUGAGCUCAAAUCCAGUGGAAUAGUGUAGAACAGAGUAAAGGGUCUUGUGUUUUAAGUUUUCCAUUUGCACGAGGAAAAGUUUUACCUUUCAUUUUACUUCUCAUUCCACUCUGAAGAAUGGAUUGUAAGAGCUUCAUACCAGGGAAUUUGGAUCCAGAGAGGAAAAGGAGUGGUGGGUUGAGAACAAAACAGGCUGGGCGUGGGUCUUGCAGAGGAAGUUAGGCUAAAAACC